UUUUAACCAUUUAUUGAAUCCCUCGGUUGAUUAGAUAUUCCACAUACAUUUAUAACCCAAAUAAUAAGUCACAUGGUGAUCACAAGAGACAGAAAAUCGCACGACGUUAAACCCAAUUUCACCUCACCUCACCUGUCACUCUAUUUUGUUCUACCAUUGUAAUUCAUCAGCAGUAAUGUGUCUUGAUUUAUAAACUUAGUUAAUUUUAGAAUACAAUUGUUAAUUGUGUAGCAAUUCUUUGUGGUUUGUUGGUUUUGCGCCUCGCCCUUUUACGUGCAGAUAUCGGGUUAACGUAUUGAAUCAACAGGUAACGAUGUCAAUGAUCAAAAGCAAUGAUGGAAGCACAUGAAACUGCCAGACAUAUAUUUAGAAAAUAUGGAAAUGUAUACAUUGUUUUUGCGAAGGUGUAGAGUAGGCUAAAUUACGAUAUUGUCCUGAGAUGACAAAACCCUGUCAUAAUCACCCAGUGUUCAGCAUAACUAGUAAACAGGUGAAGAGUUUUCCUUCUCAAGUUUAAUAAAACUUACAAUACAAAGGCGGAA